CUAAACACAUGCAAGUCGAGCGGCAGCACGGGUACUUGUACCUGGUGGCGAGCGGCGGACGGGUGAGUAAUGCCUAGGAAUCUGCCUGGUAGUGGGGGAUAACGUUCGGAAACGGACGCUAAUACCGCAUACGUCCUACGGGAGAAAGCAGGGGACCUUCGGGCCUUGCGCUAUCAGAUGAGCCUAGGUCGGAUUAGCUAGUUGGUGAGGUAAUGGCUCACCAAGGCUACGAUCCGUAACUGGUCUGAGAGGAUGAUCAGUCACACUGGAACUGAGACACGGUCCAGACUCCUACGGGAGGCAGCAGUGGGGAAUAUUGGACAAUGGGCGAAAGCCUGAUCCAGCCAUGCCGCGUGUGUGAAGAAGGUCUUCGGAUUGUAAAGCACUUUAAGUUGGGAGGAAGGGCAGUUACCUAAUACGUGAUUGUUUUGACGUUACCGACAGAAUAAGCACCGGCUAACUCUGUGCCAGCAGCCGCGGUAAUACAGAGGGUGCAAGCGUUAAUCGGAAUUACUGGGCGUAAAGCGCGCGUAGGUGGUUUGUUAAGUUGAAUGUGAAAUCCCCGGGCUCAACCUGGGAACUGCAUCCAAAACUGGCAAGCUAGAGUAUGGUAGAGGGUGGUGGAAUUUCCUGUGUAGCGGUGAAAUGCGUAGAUAUAGGAAGGAACACCAGUGGCGAAGGCGACCACCUGGACUGAUACUGACACCAGGUGCGAAAGCGUGGGGAGCAAACAGGAUUAGAUACCCUGGUAGUCCACGCCGUAAACGAUGUCAACUAGCCGUUGGGAGCCUUGAGCUCUUAGUGGCGCAGCUAACGCAUUAAGUUGACCGCCUGGGGAGUACGGCCGCAAGGUUAAAACUCAAAUGAAUUGACGGGGGCCCGCACAAGCGGUGGAGCAUGUGGUUUAAUUCGAAGCAACGCGAGACCUUACCAGGCCUUGACAUCCAAUGAACUUUCUAGAGAUAGAUUGUGCCUUCGGGACAUUGAGACAGUGCUGCAUGCUGUCGUCAGCUCGUGUCGUGAGAUGUUGGGUUAAGUCCCGUACGAGCGCACCCUGUCUAGUACAGCACGUCAUGGUGGCACUCUAGGAAACUGCGUGACAACCGGAGAGGUGGAUGACGUCAGUCAUCAUGCUACGCUGGCUCCCACGUGCUACAUGUCGUACAAGGUGCCAGCCGCCGAGGUGGAGCUA
rnacentral:rRNA from 1 species